AGAGAGGAGUGGGUGGGGCAAUGAGUUAAUUAUUUAACUCUUGCUAAUAGUAACAAUGAAUUAGAAGUCAUCCACAAACAAAAGUACCUUUGUGGGAGUUGUAGUAUCCAGCACCAAAUGCCAAGAGACCAGGAGGAAUCUGCCCACCUGUGAACCAGUAACAGGCAAACAGACUUCAGUAUGGGCUACAAAGCCAGCAGGAUCAGUGUGAGCCUGCCCCAACCCAUCUUGGUCAGGGUUGAGCAAAGGCUAGAGAUGAUUUGAGCAGCCACCCAUGAAUGAGAGAGACUUUGCAGAAGGUCGCACUUCCUGAGAGAGGAUUCCAGCACACAAUUGGAGCUGAAGAAAAAUACGAAUUUGUUUACAGUGAAGACAAUGAAAGGAGAUUUCUCAGCACCACCUUUCCCAAGGCAACACUGCAGAAGUUAAACAAUUCGUCGUGGCAAACUCUCCUGCAGGGGAAAAAGAACAGUCACUGAGUACCCAGGAUACCACAGUUGUGCUAGAUGCAUUCAGAAACCUCUUUAUCCCUAGAAGUACCUAGACUACUGAACAAGUAAUCCAUGACUGGAGAGAGAGAGGAGAUCAGGAAAGGGAUCAAAAAAACAUAUAUCAAAGGGAAAAUAACACCUGCACAAAUAUUGUUCUUACUGAAGUAAAUGUGUGGUCCUCUUUAUCACCCUCUGGAAGGCCUCUUUGAUCUCCUUGUUCCUCAGACUAUAGAUAAGAGGGUUUAACAUGGGGAUAAAGAUAACAUAGAACACUGACAGCACCUUGUUCUGCUUCUUGGAGUGAGUAGAACUAGGAUGCAUGUACACCGAGAGGCCUGUGCCAUAGAAGAUUGUUACUACUAACAGGUGAGAGGCACAG
rnacentral:lncRNA from 1 species